rnacentral:rRNA from 1 species
ANGNCACGGGCGGCGUGCUAUACAUGCAAGUCGAGCGGACAGAUGGGAGCUUGCUCCCUGAUGUUAGCGGCGGACGGGUGAGUAACACGUGGGUAACCUGCCUGUAAGACUGGGAUAACUCCGGGAAACCGGGGCUAAUACCGGAUGCUUGUUUGAACCGCAUGGUUCAGACAUAAAAGGUGGCUUCGGCUACCACUUACAGAUGGACCCGCGGCGCAUUAGCUAGUUGGUGAGGUAACGGCUCACCAANGGGCGAACGAUUGCGUAGCCGAACUGAGAGGGUGAUCGGCCACACUGGGACUGAGACACGGCCCAGACUCCUACCGGAGGCAGCAGUAAGGAAUCUUCCGCAAUGAACGAAAGUCUGACGGAGCAACGCCGCGUGAGUGAUGAAGGUUUUCGGAUCGUAAAGCUCUGUUGUUAGGGAAGAACAAGUGCCGUUCAAAUAGGGCGGCACCUUGACGGUACCUAACCCAGAAAGCCACGGCUAACUACGUGCCAGCAGCCGCGGUAAUACGUAGGUGGCAAGCGUUGUCCGGAAUUAUUGGGCGUAAAGGGCUCGCAGGCGGUUUCUUAAGUCUGAUGUGAAAGCCCCCGGCUCAACCGGGGAGGGUCAUUGGAAACUGGGGAACUUGAGUGCAGAAGAGGAGAGUGGAAUUCCACGUGUAGCGGUGAAAUGCGUAGAGAUGUGGAGGAACACCAGUGGCGAAGGCGACUCUCUGGUCUGUAACUGACGCUGAGGAGCGAAAGCGUGGGGAGCGAACAGGAUUAGAUACCCUGGUAGUCCACGCCGUAAACGAUGAGUGCUAAGUGUUAGGGGGUUUCCGCCCCUUAGUGCUGCAGCUAACGCAUUAAGCACUCCGCCUGGGGAGUACGGUCGCAAGACUGAAACUCAAAGGAAUUGACGGGGGCCCGCACAAGCGGUGGAGCAUGUGGUUUAAUUCGAAGCAACGCGAAGAACCUUACCAGGUCUUGACAUCCUCUGACAAUCCUAGAGAUAGGACGUCCCCUUCGGGGGCAGAGUGACAGGUGGUGGCAUGGUUGUCGUCAGNCUCGUGUCGUGAGAUGUUGGGUUAAGUCCCGCAACGAGCGCAACCCUUGAUCUUAGUUGCCAGCAUUCAGUUGGGCACUCUAAGGUGACUGCCGGUGACAAACCGGAGGAAGGUGGGGAUGACGUCAAAUCAUCAUGCCCCUUAUGACCUGGGCUACACACGUGCUACAAUGGACAGAACAAAGGGCAGCGAAACCGCGAGGUUAAGCCAAUCCCACAAAUCUGUUCUCAGUUCGGAUCGCAGUCUGCAACUCGACUGCGUGAAGCUGGAAUCGCUAGUAAUCGCGGAUCAGCAUGCCGCGGUGAAUACGUUCCCGGGCCUUGUACACACCGCCCGUCACACCACGAGAGUUUGUAACACCCGAAGUCGGUGAGGUAACCUUUAUGGAGCCAGCCGCCGAAGGUGACAGA